UAUUAACCCCAAUAAAAACAUCAGUUGAAGUCCUAACACAUUUUAAAAUUUAUUUAACUUUCUAGACUAGAGCAUAAAUCUCAUGGAAAUAGUUAAAUCAGAAUUUAUUUAAAAAACAAAUAAUUUCCAGGAUAUGUUGUUGGAUCUGUAGACAACCUUCAUUUUGUGUUAGGAGCCAUAUGGUUAGGAGCUACCACCUUUUCUAUUUUAGGAGAAAUAUGGGAGUGUGAGCACAGAAGACUUUGCAGCUCUCACAAAGGUAUAAUUUGACCUCCUGAGAUUCUGUCUUAGCAAGAAGAAAGUGGAAAAUACUCUUGGAAAGAAAACUAAGACAUUAAGAAAGCCAGAACUUAUUUUUAC
rnacentral:lncRNA from 1 species